rnacentral:lncRNA from 1 species
UCCUACCAUAUUUAUAUAGGACUAGUUUCAGCCUUCAGGUGAGAUAUUGAAAAAAAGAUAUCGUGAGAUAUUUAUUUUUCAUAUGUUUAUUAUCAUCCUCAAGAUGUGAAAUUGGUCUGACCUCGAGAUGUGGUCUGCAAAUUAAACGAUUAAAAAAAAUGAUAAUGGGUUAAACCGUGGGAUGAAUGAUAUCUCACAGGAUAUCUCAUGUAUGACAUCUCACCAUAAUAUAAGUCCUAAAUAUUUAAUAAGUUUGAUAAAUGCCUCAUGGACCACGAUUGGUUUUCGGGUUUAUGUGUGAGCAGUAGCCGGCCUCAACCUUCAAAUUCAGCCCGAUGUAGGUGGUAUCAUCCAUACUUCGAUCACUUGAUCACUGAAGGCCCGAAAGAAUCCUUUUUAUUUGCCCCAAACUUUUUAUAUAUUGCAAGCCAAGAAAUCAACCAACCACCUAAUUUAUUAUGCUUCUGAUACGUACCUGAUUGACUAUGAAGACAUCACUGGAUACGUCGAUGCUAUUGGGAAGAUCGCUGAAGAAUACCUAACAUCCGAUUUGGGGGAAGAAGACGGUUCGCUGCAGUUGGGAGAAGUGAACCGGCAAAAUCACUCCAGAUUGAGGAGAAAGACCGCUAUACCAGCCCGGUUUAACGAUUUCUUUAUGGGCCAAGGAAUUAACGAUUAAUAAGCUCGAUAAGAAUUAAUUUAGUAUUUUCUCUUUUAAAAUCCCCCUGUAGUAGUUUAAUUCUGUUUUUCAAAUUCUUGGGUAUAAAACGGCUAUAAUGAUUGAAUAAAUUUUUAU